rnacentral:rRNA from 1 species
UUGGAGGGCAAGUCUGGUGCCAGCAGCCGCGGUAAUUCCAGCUCCAAUAGCGUAUAUUAAAGUUGUUGCAGUUAAAAAGCUCGUAGUUGAAUUUCGGGAUUGACUCGAUGGUCGUGCCUUAAGGGGUAUGAACUGUCGUUGUUGAUUUCUCACCUUCUGGAGAAGCUCGAUGUCCUUAAUUGGAUGUCUUGUGGAACCAGGACCUUUACCUUGAAAAAAUUAGAGUGUUUAAAGCAGGCAUUUUGCUCGAAUACAUUAGCAUGGAAUAAUAGAAUAGGACGGCAUGGUUCUAUUUUGUUGGUUUCUAGGAUCACCGUAAUGAUUAAUAGGGAUAGUUGGGGGCAUUAGUAUUCAAUUGUCAGAGGUGAAAUUCUUGGAUUUAUUGAAGACUAACUUCUGCGAAAGCAUUUGCCAAGGAUGUUUUCAUUAAUCAAGAACGAAAGUUAGGGGAUCGAAGACGAUCAGAUACCGUCGUAGCCUUAACCAUAAACUAUGCCGACUAGGGAUCGGGCGAUGUUACAUUCAAAUAU